rnacentral:rRNA from 1 species
UACGUAGGGUCCGAGCGUUGUCCGGAGUUACUGGGCGUAAAGGGCGCGCAGGUGGCGGUGUUGGCCCGGCGUGAAAGCCCCCGGCUCAACCGGGGAGGGUCGUCGGGGACCGCACCGCUUGAGGGCGGUAGGGGCUGGUGGAAUUGCCGGUGUAGUGGUGAAAUGCGUAGAGAUCGGCAGGAACACCCAGGGGGAAACCAGUCGACUGGGCAUCUACUGACGCUGAGGUGCGAGAGCGUGGGGAGCGAACCGG